UGUCUCUUCAAGUAGCUUUUCAUUGUCUGAAGGAAGCUUUUCUAUGUUAUGAAAUCCAAAAUGCUGCUGUCCACACCAUUGUCACAUGCCCAUAUCACUACUAAUCAUAUGUUAAUAAUACUUUUGAGGAGAGCAAACCAUUCUAUAAAGUUAGUUUACGAAGAAAUUUCUUGCAUUUGGUCAAACGUUCACCAAGUUGAGCUUCUAUGCCCAAUGAUUGUUGGAGUGUGUAUAAUUAAUUGAUGAAGCGUUAUUCCUCAUAAAUUUUAGCAAAACUAAGGUUUUGUAACAGUAGCAUUAUAAAAUAAUCGGUAGCUUGGCUGUUGUAGCUAAAUCCUGAAUCCUUAUUGCAUACAAUUUAAUUAAUUGUCAUUUUUACUGUAAUUAGCACCUAAAGUUUGAUAAAUAAUGGGCACUCAAAGAUGAAUCAGGGAUCUAAAUAUUUUCAGGAAAGAAAGUAAAGGCUUUCUUGCUGAUACUUUUAAUUGUUUAUUGCAAGUAUGAUUUUCCUUUGGCAAAUUUUUUGAUGCUAGAGUUGAAAACUUUUAUGUUUUUUUACCUUGAACAAAUUUUGGUAAUUGAAACCAAUGUCAUAAGGUUGUAUGGCAUUAUACUUCUUUUAACGGUUAUCACUUUUUGGUCAUGGUUGACGUGUGGAUAAAUCAAAAUGACGAUUAAAUAUGAGACUUGAACCUUCCAGCAUAACAUAAAGUCAGUCAAUUUAUGUUUAAUUGAGUUACAGUUUUUUUCUACUUGCCGUGUGAAAAUCAUUGUGUCCCAAAGAUGAGAUUGCCAAAAAGACGUCCCUUUUUGUUCUUUUUGAUACUAACUGUUGUCUAAAACUCUUUGCACGAAUGUUCUUUGAGAUAAUGGGGAUGACGUUAUGAUGCAGCUGAGGAAGCUUGGCAUGAGAAA
rnacentral:misc_RNA from 1 species